GGAUGUGGGGGUGAUCUGACUGUGACAUCUAUAACCCCAUUGAUGGCCAGGGUUGAUUCAGCUGAUCUGGCUAUCUAGGUAGAUUCCCCUUCCUCCCUCCAUGUGGCUCCAUGUGCCUCCCUCCAGAAGCUGCAGUGUGCUCCGUGGAAGAGGGCUGCCUUCCCCGAAGAAAGACAGACUGGUCUUCAGUUGAGGGUAUAAGAGUAGCUGUGCUCCUCUGCUAGAACCUCCAAACAAGAUAACAGGGUAUAAUUGCACACCUUUCCCACCACCAGACUUCU
rnacentral:snRNA from 1 species